rnacentral:rRNA from 1 species
UACGUAGGUGGCAAGCGUUGUCCGGAUUUACUGGGCGUAAAGGGAGCGUAGGUGGAUAUUUAAGUGGGAUGUGAAAUCCCCAGGCUUAACCUGGGGGCUGCAUUCCAAACUGGAUGUCUAGAGUGCAGGAGAGGAGAGUGGAAUUCCUAGUGUAGCGGUGAAAUGCGUAGAGAUUAGGAAGAACACCAGUGGCGAAGGCGACUCUCUGGACUGUAACUGACACUGAGGCUCGAAAGCGUGGGGAGCAAACAGG